AUACGUAGGUGGCAAGCGUUGUCCGGAUUUACUGGGUGUAAAGGGCGUGUAGGCGGGUGAAUAAGUCAGGUGUGAAAUACCACGGCUCAACCGUGGGGUUGCAUUUGAAACUGUUCAUCUUGAGUGUCGGAGAGGAAAGCGGAAUUCCCAGUGUAGCGGUGAAAUGCGUAGAUAUUGGGAGGAACACCAGUGGCGAAGGCGGCUUUCUGGACGAUAACUGACGCUGAGGCGCGAAAGCGUGGGGAGC
rnacentral:rRNA from 1 species